CGGAGGGUGCAAGCGUUGUCCGGAUUUAUUGGGUUUAAAGGGUGCGUAGGCGGCAGAUUAAGUCAGCGGUGAAAUUCCACAGCUCAACUGUGGAACUGCCAUUGAUACUGGUUUGCUUGAGUACAGAUGAGGUAGGCGGAAUUGACAGUGUAGCGGUGAAAUGCUUAGAUAUUGUCAAGAACACCUAUUGCGAAGGCAGCUUACUAAGCUGUAACUGACGCUGAGGCACGAAAGCGUGGGGAUCAAACAGGAUUAGAUACCCUGGUAGUCCACGCUGUAAACGAUGAUUACUCGAUGUGUGCGAUAGACAGUACGCGUCCAAGCGAAAGCGUUAAGUAAUCCACCUGGGGAGUACGCCCGCAAGAGUG
rnacentral:rRNA from 1 species